GAUGAAGAACGUAGCGAAAUGCGAUACGUAGUGUGAAUUGCAGAAUUCCGUGAACCAUCGAAUCUUUGAACGCAAAUUGCGCUCGAGGCCUCGGCUAAGAGCAUGUCUGGCUCAGCGUCGGCUUACUACCCUCAAUCAAUUACCUUGUGAUGACUGGUUGGAGCUGGCUUUCCGGUGUUCCAAUCAGGUUGCCGGUCAGCUGAAAAACAUUCACGCUGUGGAAGUCGCUUUCCCUUCAAAAAGGAAAGCCGAGUUCCGAUUUGGUAGGUGACCUUUGCCGGUUGCAUGCCUUCGUUGCUCGUUUUGGCUUUCAUGAUAGCGUGUGCAGGACGCCAUUUUGGCUUUCGACCUGAGCUCAGGCAAGAACACCCGCUGAACUUAAGCAUAUCAAUAAGCGGAGGA
rnacentral:misc_RNA from 1 species